rnacentral:rRNA from 1 species
AUGUAUAAGUAUAAACGAUUCAAUCGUGAAACCGCGAACGGCUCAUUAUAACAGCUAUAAUUUACUUGAUCUUGACAAUCCUACUUGGAUAACUGUGGUAAUUCUAGAGCUAAUACAUGCACCAAAGCUCUGACCUUGCGGGAAGAGUGCAUUUAUUAGAACAAAACCAGGCGGCUUCGGCCGUACUUUGUUGACUCAGAAUAACUAAGCUGAUCGCAUGGGCUUGCCCCGGCGACGUGUCUUUCAAGUAUCUGCCUUAUCAACUUUCGAUGGUAGUGUAUCUGACUACCAUGGUUGUGACGGGUAACGGAGGAUAAGGGUUCGACUCCGGAGAAGGGGCCUGAGAAAUGGCCACUACGUCUAAGGAUGGCAGCAGGCGCGCAAAUUACCCACUCUCAGAACGAGGAGGUAGUGACGAAAAAUAACGAGGCCGUUCUCUAUGAGGCCGGUCAUCGGAAUGGGUACAAUCUAAACCCUUUAACGAGUAUCUAUGAGAGGGCAAGUCUGGUGCCAGCAGCCGCGGUAAUUCCAGCUCUCAAAAUGCAUAGAAUUAUUGCUGCGGUUAAAAAGCUCGUAGUUGGAUCUGUGCCAGGGCGUCGGUCCACCUUCGGGUGGUACUGCCAACCCUGGCUUUUUGCUGGUUUUCUCGUCGUGGUCUUAACCGAUCGCGGCGGGUGGCUGGCGAUUUUACUUUGAACAAAUCAGAGUGCUUAACACAGGCGUUUCGCUUGAAUGUUCGUGCAUGGAAUAAUAGAAACGGAUUUCGGUUCUAUUUUAUUGGUUUUAUAGACUGAGAUAAUGGUUAACAGAGACAAACGGGGGCAUUCGUAUUGCUGCGUGAGAGGUGAAAUUCUUGGACCGCAGCAAGACGAACUACAGCGAAAGCAUUUGCCAAGAAUGUCUUCAUUAAUCAAGAACGRAAGUCAGAGGUUCGAAGGCGAUCAGAUACCGCCCUAGUUCUGACCGUAAACGAUGCCAACUAGCGAUCCGCCGGCGGAUAAUUCGCCCUGGUGGGGAGCUUCCCGGAAACGAAAGUCUUCCGGUUCCGGGGGAAGUAUGGUUGCAAAGCUGAAACUUAAAGGAAUUGACGGAAGGGCACCACCAGGAGUGGAGCCUGCGGCUUAAUUUGACUCAACACGGGAAAACUCACCCGGCCCGGACACCGUAAGGAUUGACAGAUUGAUAGCUUUUUCAUGAUUCGGUGGAUGGUGGUGCAUGGCCGUUCUUAGUUCGUGGAGCGAUUUGUCUGGUUUAUUCCGAUAACGAGCGAGACUCUAGCCUACUAAAUAGUCCGCACAUUGCUUCUGUGCUGCGCGACUUCUUAGAGGGAUUUUCGGUGUUCAGCCGCACGAAAUUGAGCAAUAACAGGUCUGUGAUGCCCUUAGAUGUCCGGGGCUGCACGCGCGCUACACUGGCGAAAUCAGCGUGCUUGUCCUUUCUCGAAAGAGAUUGGUAAACCAUUGAAAAUUCGCCGUGAUUGGGAUCGGAAAUUGCAAUUAUUUUCCGUGAACGAGAAAUUCCAAGUAAGUGCGAGUCAUCAACUCGCGUUGAUUACGUCCCUGCCCUUUGUACACACCGCCCGUCGCUACCCGGGACUGAGCCAUUUCGAGAAAUUUGGGGAUUGCUGAUCAGCGGUCUUUCGGGAUUGCUUUUUGGUGAAAACCAACUUAAUCGAAGUGGCUUGAACCGGGU